rnacentral:rRNA from 1 species
GAUGAACGCUGGCGGCGUGCCUAAUACAUGCAAGUCGAGCGAAUGGAUUAAGAGCUUGCUCUUAUGAAGUUAGCGGCGGACGGGUGAGUAACACGUGGGUAACCUGCCCAUAAGACUGGGAUAACUCCGGGAAACCGGGGCUAAUACCGGAUAACAUUUUGAACCGCAUGGUUCGAAAUUGAAAGGCGGCUUCGGCUGUCACUUAUGGAUGAACCCGCGUCGCAUUAGCUAGUUGGUGAGGUAACGGCUCACCAAGGCAACGAUGCGUAGCCGACCUGAGAGGGUGAUCGGCCACAGUGGGACUGAGACACGGCCCAGACUCCUACGGGAGGCGGCAGUAGGGAAUCUUCCGCAAUGGACGAAAGUGUGACGGAGCAACGCCGCGUGAGUGAUGAAGGCUUUCGGGUCGUAAAACUCUGUUGUUAGGGAAGAACAAGUGCUAGUUGAAUAAGCUGGCACCUUGACGGUACCUAACCAGAAAGCCACGGCUAACUACGUGCCAGCAGCCGCGGUAA